AUUGAACGCUGGCGGCAGGCCUAACACAUGCAAGUCGAACGGCAGCACAGUCGGGGCAACCCGAUGGGUGGCGAGUGGCGGACGGGUGAGGAAUACAUCGGAAUCUACCUUGUCGUGGGGGAUAACGUAGGGAAACUUACGCUAAUACCGCAUACGACCUACGGGUGAAAGCGGCGGACCGCAAGGCGUCGCGCGAUUGGAUGAGCCGAUGUCCGAUUAGCUAGUUGGCGGGGUAAGAGCCCACCAAGGCGACGAUCGGUAGCUGGUCUGAGAGGAUGAUCAGCCACACUGGAACUGAGACACGGUCCAGACUCCUACGGGAGGCAGCAGUGGGGAAUAUUGGACAAUGGGCGCAAGCCUGAUCCAGCCAUGCCGCGUGUGUGAAGAAGGCCUUCGGGUUGUAAAGCACUUUUGUUGGGGAAGAAAAGCUUUCGGUUAAUACCCGGGAGUUCUGACGGUACCCAAAGAAUAAGCACCGGCUAACUUCGUGCCAGCAGCCGCCGUAACAC
rnacentral:rRNA from 1 species